rnacentral:rRNA from 1 species
UGGGAAGUAUUGCACAAUGGCGCAAGCCUGACUGCAGCCAUGCCGCGCUGUAUGAAGAAGGCCAAUUCGGGGCUUUGGUUAAAGAUACUUUCAGCGAGGAGGAAGGCGUCGUACUUAAUACGUGCGGCGAUUGACGUUACUCGCAGAAGAAGCACCGGCUAACUCCGUGCCAGCAGCCGCGGUAAUACGGAGGGUGCAAGCGUUAAUCGGAAUUACUGGGCGUAAAGCGCACGCAGGCGGUCUGUCAUGUCGGAUGUGAAAUCCCCCGGGCUCAACCUGGGAACUGCAUUCGAAACGGGCAGACUAGAGUCUUGUAGAGGGG